CCAGACUCCUACGGGAGGCAGCAGUGGGGAAUAUUGCACAAUGGGGGGAACCCUGAUGCAGCGACGCCGCGUGGGUGAAGGAGUACUUCGGUACGUAAAGCCCUAUCAGCAGGAAAGAAAAUGACGGUACCUGACUAAGAAGCCCCGGCUAACUACGUGCCAGCAGCCGCGGUAAUACGUAGGGGGCAAGCGUUAUCCGGAUUUACUGGGUGUAAAGGGAGCGUAGACGGCAGUGCAAGUCCGGAGUGAAAGCCCGGGGCUCAACCCUGGGACUGCUCUGGAAACUGUAAAGCUGGAGUGCGGGAGGGGCAGGCGGAAUUCCUGGUGUAGCGGUGAAAUGCGUAGAUAUCAGGAGGAACACCGGCGGCGAAGGCGGCCUGCUGGACCGUAACUGACGUUGAGGCUCGAAAGCGUGGGGAGCAAACAGGAUUAGAUACCCCAGUA
rnacentral:rRNA from 1 species